rnacentral:rRNA from 1 species
AGUCGAGCGGGCGUAGCAAUACGUCAGCGGCAGACGGGUGAGUAACGCGUGGGAACGUACCUUUUGGUUCGGAACAACACAGGGAAACUUGUGCUAAUACCGGAUAAGCCCUUACGGGGAAAGAUUUAUCGCCGAAAGAUCGGCCCGCGUCUGAUUAGCUAGUUGGUAGGGUAACGGCCUACCAAGGCGACGAUCAGUAGCUGGUCUGAGAGGAUGAUCACCCACAUUGGGACUGAGACACGGCCCAAACUCCUACGGGAGGCAGCAGUGGGGAAUAUUGGACAAUGGGGGCAACCCUGAUCCAGCCAUGCCGCGUGAGUGAUGAAGGCCCUAGGGUUGUAAAGCUCUUUUGUGCGGGAAGAUAAUGACGGUACCGCAAGAAUAAGCCCCGGCUAACUUCGUGCCAGCAGCCGCGGUAAUACGAAGGGGGCUAGCGUUGCUCGGAAUCACUGGGCGUAAAGGGUGCGUAGGCGGGUCUUUAAGUCAGGGGUGAAAUCCUGGAGCUCAACUCCAGAACUGCCUUUGAUACUGAAGAUCUUGAGUUCGGGAGAGGUGAGUGGAACUGCGAGUGUAGAGGUGAAAUUCGUAGAUAUUCGCAAGAACACCAGUGGCGAAGGCGGCU